AUGGCCGCCGCGCCGGUGGCGUCCCCCUUCCCCACGCUCCCCUCUCCCUCCUCCGCCCUCAGCACGCCCACGCGCCGUCUUCACGGCCGCGCGUUCCCGCCGCCAGCAGCGGCCGCCUCGCCGCGGGAGCAGCAGCAGCAGCAGAGCGCCAGGGGCGCGGCGGGCGCGGGGGAGAGCAGGCGGCGGCGGGAGGAGGAACAGGACGAGGCCGCGGCGGAGGAGUUCGAGCGGCAGCGGAAGGAGGAGGUGAACCGCAAGAUCGCCUCCCGGAAGGCGCUCUCCAUCAUCCUCCGGCGCGAGGCCACCAAGGCCGUCCUCGACAAGCGCGAGCCCGGCAAGGGCACCCGCCGCCUCCUCCCCCGCACCGUACUCGAGGCCCUCCACGACCGCGUCGCCGCCCUCCGCUGGGAGUCCGCCCUCAAGGUGUUCGAGCUAAUGCGGGACCAGGUGUGGUACAGGCCGUACGUCGGCAUAUACAUCAAGCUCAUCACCAUGCUCGGCAAGUGCAAGCAGCCGGGGAAGGCGCACGAGCUCUUCCAGGCCAUGGUCGACGAGGGCUGCGCCCCCAACCUCGAGUCGUACACGGCCCUUGUCUCGGCGUACAGCAGGAGCGGCAGCUUCGACAGGGCUUUCGCCUUGCUUGAUCAGAUGAAGGCCACCCCUGGUUGCCGGCCCGAUGUCCAGACAUACUCCAUUCUCAUCAAGUCCUGCUUGCACGCCCAUGACUUCGACAAGGUGAAGGACUUGCUGGAGGAUAUGGCGCGCGCGGGUAUCCGCCCGAACACCGUGACUUAUAACACUCUCAUUGAUGCUCAUGGGAAAGCAGGAAGGUUUGCUGAGAUGGAGUCAACUCUUCUUGAGAUGUUGUCUGAAGACUGCAAGCCUGAUGUGUGGACAAUGAAUUCUACUCUCAGAGCUUUCGGUAGCAGUGGUCAGAUUGAGACAAUGGAAAGCUGCUACGAGAAGUUCCAGGCAUCUGGUAUCUCCCCAAACAUUAAGACCUACAACAUUUUACUUGAUUCCUAUGGUAAAGCUAAAAUGUAUGAGAAGAUGGGAGCAGUGAUGGAGUACAUGCAGAAGUAUUACUAUUCCUGGACAAUAGUCACAUACAACGUAGUUAUUGAUGCAUUCGGAAGGGCCGGCGAUCUUGAACAGAUGGAAUACAUCUUUAGAUUGAUGAAAUCAGACCGUAUAAAGCCUAACUGUGUUACCCUCUGUUCAUUGAUUAGAGCAUAUGGAAGGGCUGAUCAAGUAAAGAAAAUAGAGACAGUGUUAAGAGUUGUCGAGAAUUCAGAUAUCACGUUGGAUAUUGUGUUUUUCAACUGUUUGGUGGACGCAUAUGGGAGGGUGGGGCGCUUGGCAGAGAUGUGGGAUGUUCUCAAUAUGAUGAAGGAAGAGCAAAUAAGACCAGACAAGGUAACCUGCACUACCAUGAUCAAAUGGUUUCUCGUCAAAGGGAUUGAUGAUCAUCGUGUUCAGUACCUGCGUGACCUAAAAGAUGGGCGAUCUACAGACAACAAGUAG
rnacentral:rRNA from 1 species